GAGAGCGGUAUGCGUUGAAAGGCGCCCGUACCGUUCGGGAAGGGGCCGUCGGAAAAGGACCCCAGCCAGGGGCACCUCGUCGGCGGCCUACUUCAC
rfam:Streptomyces sp. CB01580 scaffold2, whole genome shotgun sequence.